rnacentral:lncRNA from 1 species
CCUGCUUCCCCCUUUCCCCGCACCCCCCUUUCUGCUCUGUUUCCUGUCCCUCCCAGACACUGACAAAAUGAAGGCUGCUCACUCGCGUCCGACUCUCUGCGGCCCCACAGACCGCAGCCCGCCGUGCUCCCUGUCCAUCACCAACUCCCGGAGCUGCUCAAACUCACGUCCAUCGAGUCGGUGAUGCCAUCCAGCCAUCUCAUCCUCUGCCGCCCCCUUCUCCCCCUGCCCUCCAUCUUUCCCAGCAUCAGGGUCUUUUCCAAGGAGUCAGUCCUUGGCAUCAGGUGGCCAAAGCAUUGGAACUUCAGCUUCAGCAUCACUGAAAAGUACGUCUUAGGGGCACUUUGGUGAGGGCACCCGAGGGCUGAGGAGCAGGAGAUGGUGUACUUGCCUGGCGACUCCUGGGGAUCUGGGGGCCUCUGCAAGAGGGUUGAGCCUGUGGAAUCCCGUCGGAAUGGAAUUCUGCAUGAGGGUUGAGCCUGUGGAAUUCCGUUGGAAUGGAAUUCUCUUGGGAGGGUUCCGUUGGCAUGGCGCCCCCUGGUAGGGCAUUGAUAUUCUUCCAGCCCAGCGUUUCUCAUGAUGUACUCGGCAUCAAGGGCGUCCCUUGAGGGCCAGUGAACAGGAAGCUCCAGUAUGUGGACCAAGGUUGCAUGUUAGUGGCUGAUGCUGCCCGCCUGGGCCAGCUGUGGCUGCAGCAGGGGCUGUGACCUGCGCCCGGGCCGGGUUUCUCAGGAAGCAGCUCUGGAAGCCCGGGAAGAGAACAGUCCCUGCUGUGAGAUGGUUAGCAUGAUGAGAGCGGGGGUCUUUGGAAGUUGCAGGGAUACUUCAAUGGACUUUUCUGCGCUGGAGUGAACGUUGGCGGACAUGCCACACAGCCUCCCUGCAGACUGAAGUUGUCAGCGUGGGAUUGAAACGUAGGGUCUCUCAUUAAACCCAUGCUGAUUUGGUUAUUUUUAAGGUGUUUUUUUUUUUUAAUGGGCUGCUUAAAAGCCUUUCUUGAGUUUAUCACAGUGUUAUCUCUGUUUUAUGUUCUGACAUUUUUGGCCAUGAGGCCUGUGGGAAUCCUAGCUCCCUGACCAGGGAUGGAACCCACGUCCCUUGCAUUGGAAGG